rnacentral:rRNA from 1 species
CCUACGGGUGGCAGCAGUGGGGAAUAUUGCACAAUGGGCGCAAGCCUGAUGCAGCCAUGCCGCGUGUGUGAAGAAGGCCUUCGGGUUGUAAAGCACUUUCAGCGGGGAGGAAGGCGUUAAGGUUAAUAACCUUGUCGAUUGACGUUACCCGCAGAAGAAGCACAGGCUAACUCCGUGCCAGCAGCCGCGGUAAUACGGAGGGUGCAAGCGUUAAUCGGAAUUACUGGGCGUAAAGCGCACGCAGGCGGUCUGUCAGGUCGGAUGUGAAAUCCCCGGGCUCAACCUGGGAACUGCAUUCGAAACUGGCAGGCUAGAGUCUUGUAGAGGGGGGUAGAAUUCCAGGUGUAGCGGUGAAAUGCGUAGAGAUCCGGAGGAAUACCGGUGGCGAAGGCGGCCCCCUGGACAAAGACUGACGCUCAGGUGCGAAAGCGUGGGGAGCAAACAGGAUUAGAUACCCGAGUAGUC